GAUGAACGCUAGCGGCAGGCCUAACACAUGCAAGUCGAGGGGUAGCAGGAUUAAGCUUGCUUAAUUGCUGACGACCGGCGCACGGGUGCGUAACGCGUAUGCAACCUACCUUAUACUGGGGUAUAGCCCGGAGAAAUUCGGAUUAAUCCCCCAUAGUACUAAUGAAUCGCAUGGUUUAGUAGUUAAAGCAUUGCGGUAUAAGAUGGGCACGCGUCCUAUUAGCUAGAUGGGGAGGUAACGGCUCACCAUGGCUACGAUAGGUAGGGGGCCUGAGAGGGUGGUCCCCCACACUGGAACUGAGACACGGACCAGACUCCUACGGGAGGCAGCAGUGAGGAAUAUUGGUCAAUGGGCGCAAGCCUGAACCAGCCAUGCCGCGUGCAGGAAGAAUGCCCUAUGGGUUGUAAACUGCUUUUAUUUGGGAAUAAACCUCUUUACGUGUAGAGAGCUGAAGGUACCAAAUGAAUAAGCACCGGCUAACUCCGUGCCAGCCGCCGCAGUAA
rnacentral:rRNA from 1 species